rnacentral:rRNA from 1 species
AUAAAAAACCAAUGCCCUUUUGGGCUCCUUGGUGAUUCAUAAUAACUUAACGAAUCGCAUGGCCUUGCGCCGGCGAUGGUUCAUUCAAAUUUCUGCCCUAUCAACUUUCGAUUGUAAGAUAGAGGCUUACAAUGGUCUUAACGGGUAACGGGGAAUUAGGGUUCUAUUCCGGAGAGGGAGCCUGAGAAACGGCUACCACAUCCAAGGAAGGCAGCAGGCGCGCAAAUUACCCAAUCCCGAUACGGGGAGGUAGUGACAAUAAAUACUGAUACGGGGCUCUUUCGGGUCUCGUAAUUGGAAUGAGUACAAUCUAAAUCCCUUAACGAGGGACAAUUGGAGGGCAAGUCUGGUGCCAGCAGCCGCGGUAAUUCCAGCUCCAAUAGCGUAUAUUAAAGUUGUUGCCGUUAAAAAGCUCGUAGUUGAACCUUGGACCUGGCUGAUCUGUCCUCCUAAUCGAGCGCACGGAUUCGGUCGGGUCUUUCCUUCUGGGGAGCCCCAUGCCCUUCACUGGGUGUGGC